GCCGGCUUAGCUCAGUGGUAGAGCAGCGCUUUUGUAAAGCGAAGGUCAUCGGUUCAAAUCCGUUAGCCGGCU
rfam:Synechococcus sp. CC9311, complete genome.